GCCUUCGUGGUAUAACGGUAGUACACUCGGGUUGUAUUCGAGGGGUCCAGGUUCGAGACCCGGUGAGAGCA
rnacentral:tRNA from 1 species